CAGUAGCCGCGGGAAAACGUAGGUGGCAAGCGUUGUCCGGAAUUAUUGGGCGUAAAGGGCUCGCAGGCGGUUUCUUAAGUCUGAUGUGAAAGCCCCCGGCUCAACCGGGGAGAGUCAUUGGAAACUGGGAAACUUGAGUGCAGAAGAGGAGAGUGGAAUUCCACGUGUAGCGGUGAAAUGCGUAGAGAUGUGGAGGAACACCAGUGGCGAAGGCGACUCUCUGGUCUGUAACUGACGCUGAGGAGCGAAAGCGUGGGGAGCGAACAGGAUUAGAGACCCCUGUAGUCCCUGUCUCUUAUAC
rnacentral:rRNA from 1 species